rnacentral:rRNA from 1 species
UACGUAGGGGGCAAGCGUUGUCCGGAUUUAUUGGGCGUAAAGAGCGUGUAGGCGGUCAGGUAGGUCGGUUGUGAAAACUGGAGGCUCAACCUUCAGAGGUCGACCGAAACCCCCUGGCUAGAGUCCGGAAGAGGAGAGUGGAAUUCCUGGUGUAGCGGUGAAAUGCGCAGAUAUCAGGAAGAACACCAAUGGCGAAAGCAGCUCUCUGGGACGGUACUGACGCUGAGACGCGAAAGCGUGGGGAGCGAACAGG